GGUUUGGAAGAUUAAAUGUAUUUGUAUUUCUUAUAAGGAUCCCCAUUAGCUGACGCCUAGACGACCAGCUAGUCUUCCUGGUGUUCAAAACAACAUUUAAUCAGACAAUAUUAAAACAUUACAUGACAUACA